UAUGGUAAUUGUGCGCCGCCGCGGUAAAACGUAGGUCACAAGCGUUGUCCGGAAUUACUGGGUGUAAAGGGAGCGCAGGCGGGAAGAUAAGUUGGAAGUGAAAUCCAUGGGCUCAACCCAUGAACUGCUUUCAAAACUGUUUUUCUUGAGUAGUGCAGAGGUAGGCGGAAUUCCCGGUGUAGCGGUGGAAUGCGUAGAUAUCGGGAGGAACACCAGUGGCGAAGGCGGCCUACUGGGCACCAACUGACGCUGAGGCUCGAAAGUGUGGGUAGCAAACAGG
rnacentral:rRNA from 1 species